rnacentral:rRNA from 1 species
UAUGAAGGGUGCAAACGUUGCUCGGAAUUAUUGGGCGUAAAGCGCACGUAGGCGGCCAUCUAAGUCGGAUGUGAAAUCCCUCGGCUUAACCAAGGAAGUGCACCCGAAACUGGAUAGCUUGAGUACAGAAGAGGAUCGCGGAAUUCCCGGUGUAGAGGUGAAAUCCGUAGAUAUCGGGAGGAACACCAGUGGCGAAGGCGGUUCUCUGGGCAUGUCCUGACGCUGAGGAGCGAAAGUGUGGGGAGCGAACAGG